AACAUUUCACUGACCUGGUUGUUAUAGCUGAGAGGAUUGAACAAGCCAUUGGGUUAGGUAAGAUUGCUAACCCGACUGAGAAGAACGGUUUCACUGAAGGUGGUUGCCAAGGCACUUAUCAUUUCUAUAGCUAAUUGCUUCACAUCGACUCCUAGAAAUCAACUAUCUUGAAGAUAAAGCUAUGGUGAUAUUAGGUCGAGAAUGAUCUACAUUU
rnacentral:lncRNA from 1 species